rnacentral:lncRNA from 1 species
UUUAUUAUUAUUUUAUUUUUAUUUUUUUAAUCCCUAGUUUUGCAUGUACUGAUUUAUGAAUUUUGCGGUCCAUCGGGAUGCCCUAACUUUUGCCUAAGUAAACUCCUUUUUAGUUUUUUUUGCCUUAGCGUUCCCCUUUUUUUUAAACCACUUCUUGUGAUAUUGGAUUUUGAAUUCGAAAGCUGUGACUGCCAUAUUAGCCUUCGUUAGAUUUAUUCCUUUAUUGCUUCCUUGAUGUUAGAUGAUGUAUGCGAGGAAUAAGAUGUGCUUGGACCUAUUAUCCUUGCGAUUAGAUGGAAUAAUUCUCUUGAGAUCAUAAUGCAUCAUUGAC